GAUGAACGCUGGCGGCGUGCCUAAUACAUGCAAGUCGAGCGAACGGACGAGAAGCUUGCUUUUCUGAUGUUAGCGGCGGACGGGUGAGUAACACGUGGAUAACCUACCUAUAAGACUGGGAUAACUUCGGGAAACCGGAGCUAAUACCGGAUAAUAUUUUGAACCGCAUGGUUCAAAAGUGAAAGACGGUCUUGCUGUCACUUAUAGAUGGAUCCGCGCUGCAUUAGCUAGUUGGUAAGGUAACGGCUUACCAAGGCAACGAUGCAUAGCCGACCUGAGAGGGUGAUCGGCCACACUGGAACUGAGACACGGUCCAGACUCCUACGGGAGGCAGCAGUAGGGAAUCUUCCGCAAAGGGCGAAAGCCUGACGGAGCAACGCCGCGUGAGUGAUGAAGGUCUUCGGAUCGUAAAACUCUGUUAUUAGGGAAGAACAUAUGUGUAAGUAACUGUGCACAUCUUGACGGUACCUAAUCAGGAAGCCACGGCUAACUACGUG
rnacentral:rRNA from 1 species